UAAUACGGAGGGUGCGAGCGUUGUCCGGAAUCACUGGGCGUAAAGGGCGCGUAGGCGGCUUGGUAAGGGGGCGGUGAAAGCCCGGGGCUCAACCCCGGGUCUGCCGGACCGACUGCCGAGCUUGAGCACACUAGGGGCGGGUGGAAUUCCGGGUGUAGCGGUGGAAUGCGUAGAGAUCCGGAAGAACACCGGUGGCGAAGGCGGCCCGCCGGGGUGUAGCUGACGCUGAGGCGCGACAGCGUGGGGAGCAAACAGGAUUAGAUACCCUGGUAGUCCACGCCGUAAACGAUGGGCACUAGGUGCUCGGGGGAGCGACCCCUUGGGUGCCGGCGCUAACGCAUUAAGUGCCCCGCCUGGGGAGUACGGCCGCAAGGCUG
rnacentral:rRNA from 1 species